AGGUACCUAAACCUGUGCUCUUUCUCCUGAAGAACUGGGGCUUGGGUCUGAGCUCAGAGAGACCCUGCCCACCGGCUGCUUAGGGGGCGCACGUCCAGUGGCUGACUGUAUAUAUGGAAGUCUCUUACAGUAGACCAGGGGGUGGCUCAGCCAAACCCAAGGGCACAGACUCGGACUGAUGUUACCUGAGUUAUUCUGGCAGUGUGUGGGACCACAGCGAGACCAGAGCCUUCCAGAAGAUGAAUCCAGAAUGUUCUGACACUUGUUCCCCUCUGCACUGCCACGCCUCUGGUUUGACCGCUGCAUCUCCCCUUAUACUACCUGCUGCUGCUCUGGGUAUCUACGAAAAUCUCUUAAAGUCU